rnacentral:rRNA from 1 species
UUGCACGCUGGCGGCAGGCCUAACCCCUGCAAGUCGAGCGGAUGAAGGGAGCUUGCUCCUGGAUUCAGCGGCGGACGGGUGAGUAAUGCCUAGGAAUCUGCCUGGUAGUGGGGGAUAACGUCCGGAAACGGGCGCUAAUACCGCAUACGUCCUGAGGGAGAAAGUGGGGGAUCUUCGGACCUCACGCUAUCAGAUGAGCCUAGGUCGGAUUAGCUAGUUGGUGGGGUAAAGGCCUACCAAGGCGACGAUCCGUAACUGGUCUGAGAGGAUGAUCAGUCACACUGGAACUGAGACACGGUCCAGACUCCUACGGGAGGCAGCAGUGGGGAAUAUUGGACAAUGGGCGAAAGCCUGAUCCAGCCAUGCCGCGUGUGUGAAGAAGGUCUUCGGAUUGUAAAGCACUUUAAGUUGGGAGGAAGGGCAGUAAGUUAAUACCUUGCUGUUUUGACGUUACCAACAGAAUAAGCACCGGCUAACUUCGUG